UUGCGCGGGGGAGCGGGUGCUAUUCAAAACAAUGGUCGGCGUCGCGUCGUAGGAUCGUUUGCCUUGUUUUUUGAAAAGUUAAGCCCCUUUGGAGCAGAUUGGAAGGUUUCAGAAGAUGGAGGAAGAUGGCAAGAUCAAAGAGAUGGGUUCAGUUUCCACGGUGUGCUGACUUGAAUUGGCAUCCUGUGAUUUGUGAUGUGAAUUAUGAUGCACGCACUCGCAGGUGCACGCCCACUGCGGACACGUGUGACGUGACGGCAGCAGGCAGCCGGGGUGUGAACUGUGAACUGGCUCGGCCGAAAAUGUUUAAGGUAUCACAGCGUUUGUAACUGACUAACAUACCCACUACGGGCAUACCCAUUGAGCGGAUAAUGCGUUCGUGUGCAUCGUGUUUGCAUUUAUUCCCGAUAUACUCUGGUGGUAGGUGUGAAUGGAAACCAGCUUGGUGCUACGACACCGUUUAGUAGGCAUGUGGCACGUCGUUUCUCGAAACCUACCUAUCAGUCUAUGCAAUAAUAUGCAUUGUAUACAUUGUGUGUCAUCGUUCACCUUAGUUGUCAUUGAACCUGUGUUAAAUUCUGAACUUCAGGCCGAGACAGACUAUUUCCACAGUCAGGAAAU